CACCCAGGGGUCCCCUAUGCCCUAUGCCUAUCUUAUGGCUUCCUGCUAUAACCUCUCCUGGGGGAAUCAACAGAGGCUCCAGUCUGCUGGAUGCCAAAGACUCCCUUAGCUGCUGGGCCAACCCUGACCUCUCACCUGCAUCCCAUCUGGUCCCCUGGCACUCCAGAGCCGAUCUCCCAACACCUGCCCUUCUUCGGAUUCUUCAAUGACAGAUGCUCUAGCCCCAUCCCCAAGUGCCAGAGCCAGAAACCCAGAGGAGCUGGGUAAGCCUUGCCUCCCCUCUCUAGGUCCUAAUCUGCCCCCGCUCUGGUCAUCUCCCACCUACGACUGAUCAGCCUCCUGGGCUGCACACCAUCAUUCCUCUCUCUGCUACAGCCACACCUGCUCUUCACCAGUACCUGAGGCUCCUGCCAGGGUGGCCACCCCCCCCCCCCUCCAGACUGCUCAUCAGCUCCUGCUCACGGCGGCCAUGAGAUGGCUUGCUAUUUCUUGAAGAAGUGGCUCUCUCUGACUCAGUCCAGCAGCCCUGCCAUAAAGGUCCCAGGUCUCCCGACGCAAGUUGGUUUCUCAAGGCCCAGCCCACAGACCACCUCCCUGGAAGCCCUGGACAAAGCUCAAGGUCCUGUCCCCGCGAUUUAAUGAAAUCACUUAUUUUGCAUCAAAGAUGUCUUCAAGAAUUCUUUCUUGGCUGUCAGCUCUAUAAUAUGCGCCCCGCCCAGCCUCAUCAUUUGGCGCCUAUAUGGGGUUGUGAGUCUUUUCAUCUGGACUCUGAGCUUCGGUGCAAAUGUGGAGGAGGAUGGGACCUUCUUCUCAGUCCCCAAGGACUCUCCCUUGGGAUGCCUCUUCAACCUGCUAGAAACAAUUUGGAUUGCAAACUUUAGGAAAGAGG